rnacentral:rRNA from 1 species
GGAUUAGAUACCCUGGUAGUCCACGCCGUAAACGAUGUCUACUAGCCGUUGGGAUCCUUGAGAUCUUAGUGGCGCAGCUAACGCACUAAGUAGACCGCCUGGGGAGUACGGUCGCAAGAUUAAAACUCAAAUGAAUUGACGGGGGCCCGCACAAGCGGUGGAGCAUGUGGUUUAAUUCGAAGCAACGCGAAGAACCUUACCUACUCUUGACAUCCAGAGAACUUUCCAGAGAUGGAUUGGUGCCUUCGGGAACUCUGAGACAGGUGCUGCAUGGCUGUCGUCAGCUCGUGCCG